CGCUUCACGCUGAUGACGUCACCGCUAGCGCACUCACACAGCGUUGAGUCUUUCUGAGGAGUUUUGCACCUCCUACCACACAGUGAAGCUCCUCCCACAGCAAUUCACCAGUUAAUGCUGAAUAUUUCCACAAGUGAAGAUGACAGAGUUGGCGAAAGAACAUUGAAGAACAUGAGUGAUCCAGAACCCUGCAGAAUUAAACAGGAAGAUACUGAAGAACCAAUAGGGCAUAGAAAAUGAGUAAGAGGAUCCAGCCUCAACACUGCG
rnacentral:lncRNA from 1 species